UUGAAGCAAUUUCCAUGGAAACUGGGUUGGGAUGGUAUGUGGGUCAUGUAAAGAACAUGUGUAAGUUGCAGUGGGACUAUUCAGCUGCUAAUUGUCAACACAUCUACUUCCCUACACUAUCAUCUUCAGUUCAUCUGGUCCUGAUGGUCAUCAUGCUUCAUAUGGCACUCCAGACAAAAAAUGUGGAAUCAUAAGAGAAUUGAGGCACACUGCUGGGAUUUUUAUGCAAAUGAUUCAUAUAGCUGGAAAUAGUGCAAAGUCCACAAGCUAGUGUUUGUCACUGCAUGGUGUACAGUUUCUUUUAGUCGAACUGAGAUGUCAGAUAUGAGAUGAGGUAAUAUCUUGACUUGUUUCUGAUGGUUCUUCAUUGCUUAGUAAAAUGUCAGGCAACAGCAGCACAGGGGAAAGAAAGCAGCAGCAUACAUCGAGCUACAAGGUGAAGGUAAACUUGCAGCAUAAAAGAUAUUGACGCCUUCGUCUUCUUGUGGCGGUUUCAUUUCCCUGUUGGUGUGCUCCUUCCAUCCAGGCAAAGUGGUCACAGUCGUCACCGAUCCACCACAUCCGUCGUCAUGCAUCUGCUACCAAAGUUGGGACAUUCAACUCACCAUGGGCGAGCCAAGACGAUGGGAACUGUUCCUGAUAAGAUCACGGUCGCCAUUACAACAAGCUUAUGAGUCCCUCCCUUUUCCGCAGCCCCAAGCGUCAGCCUUGGCACAAAAACCAAGACGUGACCGCCCGCUCCCAUGAUUUCCCAUCACCAGAAAAGAACCCAAACCCCGCACUGCACUCCCACCACACCCGUCUCAUUUCGCUUUCCUCCCUCGCAGACUUCCCCACCCGUGCCUUUGCCUGCCACCACAUGAAUUGAUAGCUUUCGCGUCCCCCAAUCCCACUCCACUGCCAAAACAAAAGCGAAGCCACAGAAAACGUACACAACAAACCAAAAAGAAAGCAGAGUCCCCUGUGCCGCCGGCGCCACCUCCUCACCGCAGCCACCGCCGGAGGUCCGUCGUCGAGGACGGGGACGCUUCGCCCACGAGGCUGUCGUUGCAGGACGAGGACACGUUGGAGCGGGGCUCCCCGGCGAACCUCGCCGCCGCGCUCUUGAAGCUCGGGCUCCGCAGGUUCUCCGGCUCCGGGAACGAGAGGCGCUUCUUGGCGGAGCUGGCCCGAUCCCGGUCCGGCGUCCCGGGUCGCUGUCGCGGUGCGCUCUGCGACCGCAGCCGCGCCUUGGCGGACUCCGUCGCCGCCAUGUAGUUCGGCACCGACGCCGCGGGGUGGUAGGUCGGCGUCUGGGCGGUGGAGAUGCUCCUGUGGUCCUGCCGGCCGCAGCGGGGACUGGCGGAGCGGACUUGCAAAGGUCGCAUCUCGGAGGGCGAGGGCGUGGUGGGCGAGUGGGUCUGGUGUCGUUGGUGGUGACCGCGGUGGAGCGGGACGGGCUGCGGGGACGGCGGCGUCUGGCGGCGAGGGUUGGCGGGGGCGGAGUAAGAGUAGGGUCGAGCGGUGUCGAUCUCCAAGGUCUUGAUGGGAUCCCGAUAGCCAACGGAGGCUCGCGCCCUGCUGCUGGCUCUGUUGUCAAAAGAGGACCUUGAGGCGAUCCAGCGAUCCAUCCACCGGCUCGGUCUCUGCUCUCCCGCCGAAGCCACCUCGCCGUCCACGUCUUCGUCGAGAAGGCGCGACGAGCUCCGAUCCGAUCUCAAGAGCUUUCCGAUAGAUAGACCGGAGACUUGAUGUCAGUCGUAUAUACAUCACAGAGGAAAGCAGGCGGCGGGGGAGAAAUAAGCGUGUUCGGAGCUCACUUUUUGAGAGAAGGCAUAGGAGAGCGCCCUCUCUCGUCUGAGAGCAGCAUCCUUCCGGCGUUGCAACGUCGCUUGUAUCUCGUCCAUCGUUCUCGGGCGGUCGUCCCAAUCAUCAGCAAAGCUACUCCCAUCUCUCGACUGUUUGUUCCACCAUUAAAGAGAGAAGAAAAAGAUAGGACAAAUCCACACGAUGAGCAAAGAAGAAACCAACGAGGAAGACGAAGGAUGUGUUACCAUGGAUCUUCUCUCCGCGAGCUCCUGGAGGUACUUGGAGUCCCAGAAAGAGGUGUCGCAGCUGAAGGAGGACAUGUUGCUACCUCGAGAAACCGCCGCCGCCGACUCUUGGGCGAGCCGCAUGCGCUGUUCUCUCACCCUCGCCUGUGCUCUCACCAGAGCUUGCAUGCACCGCAGCGUCAUGUUCGCUUGCUUCCGGACGUUGUGACCCCUCACCAAGGCCUGCAGCUUUACCAGCCCCUUCAAAGCCCGCAGUGCCCUCCUCGCCUUCACCACCACCCCGAAACCCAAAUCCACUUUAGAACCAUCCCUGAACUCAAGAAGACGAAGAACCUAAACAAGAGGUGAGGUACCAAGUAUCCUCGAAAGGCGGUUUGGAUGACGACGGCGGCGUAAUGCUCCUUGACGAAGCUCGCAGAAGGCCUGGUGAGGCGCACCACCUCCGCCGCCGCCUGCGCCGUCGCUACCGCCGCCUCUGCCGUCGCUGCGGAGGCCACGGCAAGGGCAAUAGCGUGCCUUUCCUCCGGCGUGACUACCGUCGGCGCCCUCGCCUGCUGCUGUUGCUCGAGCGUUGACGGCUUCCGGAACAUCCAUCUCCUCUUCUCCCUCUUCCGCUACCAGAAGACGAAGUCACGAAAGAAAGGAAAGGUGAAGGUGACCCAUUAGAAACACCGAAAGCAGACGAGGGAGGAAGCACAACACUCUCACCUUCUCUUCUUCCUCUCCUUGUCCCGAGGUCUUCCUCUCGGAGUCCUUAGACGGCGACAUAAACGCCCGUUUGACCGCCGUCAGCCAAGAGCUGCUCCCCUUCCUUCCCAUGACACCCUACUCCCUUCUUCGCACCGUUACCCAACGAUUCUCCAACCGCAACAGUAAAGGCGAAGGAGGAGGAGGAGAAAGGCAGAACUCCGCUUUCACCCGUCCAUGUCGGAAGGAAUCUUUUAUCAAAGGUGACAGUCUUCCGGCUUUGGCUUUGGGCACAGUAACUUGACUCGCUUCACGAAGCCAGUCACAGUGAAUGAGCUCCGGAUGUCUCCUCAGGCCCUACAGCUUCCUGCUGCGUGAAUCCCUGUUGGGGGCAGAGAGAGGCUAACCUUCUUUUGCGCCCAUGUAAACUGGAUUUUGGCGGAUAUUUCUCUCUAUAUUUAUAUUUA